GAGUCGGUGGCCGGGAAAACGACACAAGCGAGUUAAGAAUCCGAAGUAGGAACGCAACGUUUUUAUAUUAAUUGAAAACAAGGUCCAAGGGAAUCACUUCACAGAUACAAUGAAUCCUCUGGUACAAGAGAAGAAAGAAAAAAAAAGUUGCAGAAUGAGGGCCUCACAGAGCUUUCCAGAUCGUUAUUCAAGCCCCCCCACAGUAUCAGGAGGUGUAAAGUGUUCGAGUCAUUUCUGGAUUUUCUUUCCUGCGCUGACACACGGUGGUAGCAGGUUUUGCAAAGUUGGCAAGUGACCAAGAAAGCAAAGCUCGGCGUUUCCUGAAGGCUGGGACACGCAAACAAGUAAGGUCCUGAUGCUGCAGGACCCCCACGAUGGAUCUCACUGCAAACAUUAUAUCUCAGCCGAGCUCCCACUUUGAGUUAGAAGACUUUUUUGUUUCUGGUAAACAAAUA